rnacentral:rRNA from 1 species
CAGCAGCCGCGGUAAUACCGGCGGCCCGAGUGGCGGUCACUAUUAUUGGGCUUAAAACGUCCGUAGCCGGGUUGGGAAGUCCUCCGGGAAAUCUGGCCGCUUAACGGUCAGAAUGCCGGAGGAUACUCCCAGCCUAGGGAGCGGGAGAGGCCGAGGGGAUUCCCGGGGUAGGGGGGAAAUCCUAUAAUCCCGGGAGGACCACCUGUGGCGAAGGCGCUCGGCUGGGACGCGUCCGACGGUGAGGGACGAAGGCCAGGGGAGCAAACCGGAUUAGAUACCCGGGUAGUCCUGGCUGUAAACGAUGCGGACUUUGUGUCGGACAAGCUAUGAGCUUGUCCGGUGCCGGAGGGAAACCGUUAAGUCCGCCGCCUGGGGAGUACGGCCGCAAGGCUGAAACUUAAAGGAAUUGGCGGG